AAUGACUUAGAUUUAUCUUCCGCUCGGGAGCUCUCUUCCUCUGGUUUGAAUGCUUUCUUCUGAGGAGGCGAGAAUUGCAGUUACUGCAGACGCGUACAGAUUCGCCACCAGUAACUCGGGGUAACGAGGAUCUCUGCCACCGCUGACACCUGUUCCUUCAUGAGAUUUAGAAAGUCUCUUCUGUAACAGAAAGGUGACGUGCCUGCUCCCCCUUUGCCUUCUGCCAUGAUUGCAAGCUUCCUGAGGCCUCCCCAGAAGCAGAGUAGAUGCCAACACCAUGCUUCCUGUACAGCCUGCGGAACCGUGAGCCAAUUAAAC
rnacentral:lncRNA from 10 species